rnacentral:lncRNA from 1 species
UUGCCUGGGUUAGCUGGGCAGGACCGGGGUGGGAACCCAGAUUCCUUCAGGGUUCUCAUUGUCCCGCGGGGUUUGCUAGCUCAAGGCCCCCCGAACCCGGGGUGGGGUGGGUGGGGGGAAGCUGCCCUUCUACCUCCGGUCCAUCCCAGCGCCAGAACUCUGCAGUCCGGAGAGGCCAGCCUUGCAGCUAAACGUCCUAGCCUUUGGGUGGCAGGAUCAGAGACCGGGGAAACCCGAACCUUUGACAAGUUUGUGGAGCUUUUGGGGAAUGAUCUCGAAGAUGCACACUUGGACGCGGCGGAGGAGGGUGCAGCGGGGAGAGGCGGGCAGGGCAAGUCCCACGGCUUCGCGAGUCGCUCUGCCGUCCGCGGGGGUCCCCUUCCGCAGGCCCCCGCGUCCCCGGCCGGCCGCGGGGAGGGGGGUGCCGGGGUGCCGGGGGUGCCGGGGUGCCGGGGUGCCGGGGGUGCCGGGGGUGCCGGGGUGCCGGGGGUGCCGGGGGUGCCGGGGUGCCGGGGGUGCCGGGCAGCAGCCCGGGACGGCGCCGGCCGCUCCAGCCGCAGUUCAAAGCGCAGGGGGCGCGUCCGCCGCGCAGCCGGGAAUGUCCGGCCGCUUAAAGCGCUCGCCGGCUCUUUUGUUCCCCAGACCGGGCCUCCGGGGAGAGGGGCUGGGGGAGGGGACCGGGCGGGGCGGGAGGGGGCGCGGGCGCGGGCGGAGGGCGGGGCGGCGCGGGCGGGGCGAGGGCGAGAGCGAGAGCGAGAGCGAGAGCGAGUGCGAGUGCGGAGCGCGCUCCCCGGCGAGGCUGACAGAUCGCCCGCGAGGGUGCAAGAUGGCGCGAGCGGCGCUCCCCCCGCGCCCCCGGCGCUCCUAGGCCGGCAUGUGGCCCCAGCCCGCCGCCGCCCGGGCUCGGCCCCGGCCCGAGCCCCGGCCCCGGCCCCGCCGCCGCCCCCGCGGGACGCUGUGAGCCUCCCGAGGCCCCGGAGCCGCGCUCGCCGAGCCCAGCCGGGCGGACCGAGAGCCCCAUGGCCGCUCCCCGCGCCGCGCCGCGCCGGCCCCGGCUCCUGCUGCCGCUGCUGCUGCUGCUGCCGCCGCUGCUGCCCGCGCCGAGCGACGGUGAGCGGGCGCCCCGGGCCGGGCCGGGCCGGGCCGGGCCGGGCGAGGGCGAGGAGGGACCGGGUCCCGCGGGCGGAGCGGGCGGGGCGGGGCGGCGGGGGCGGCGGAGGGCGCGGCGAGGGCGCGGGGCGCGAGCCGGGACCCGCCCCCGGAGUGCGCGGCGGACCCCGAGGGACCGCGCGACCCGGGGCGCGGGGGCAGCGGCGGGGAGGGCGGGACCCGGCUCGCGGAGGGGCGCAGGCCGGAGCGUCCCCUCCCUUCCCGGAGGCUCGGCGGCCCCGCGUCCGUCUGCGCGCUCCGCUGUCCGCGCUCCGCUCUCGGCUCGGCUCCGGGGCGGCGGCACCUCGCGCCCGCAUCCGGGAGAAACUUUAUCCCCCGACGGCGCUGCGGGGCCGGGGCCGGGGCCGGGGCUGGGGGCCGAGGCUGCCGAGACGCAGGGGGCGGGCGGGAGGGGCUCAAAAGGUUGUGACCCUCGAACGUCUUAAAAUACCCUGGGUCUCCCUGGGACCGCGGGCCUCGCCCGCCCCCGCCCCCGCCCCCUUCCUCCCCACCCACUUUCCGUCUCCCCCAACCAGGGAGGGCGCCGGCCUGCUGGGCGGGGCCGGCUCCGGGAUCGCUAGCGCCCGGCCAAGGGGACGAGGGGUCUGUGGCGGCCCUUUCAGACCAGGUGGGUUCAUGCCUCCCGGAGCGCGGUUGUGA